CCCCUAGAUGUUCUGGGCCGCACGCGCGCUACACUGAACAGUUCAACAAGUCUUAACCUUGGCCGAUAGGUCUGGGUAAUCUUUGAACGCUGUUCGUGAUUGGGAUAGACCUUUGCAAUUAUGGGUCUUCAACGAGGAAUUCCUAGUAAACGCAAGUCAUCAGCUUGCAUUGAUUACGUCCCUGCCCUUUGUACACACCGCCCGUCGCACCUACCGAUUGAAUGAUCCGAUGAAUACAAUGGAUCGAGAGUACGAACAGGUUCGCUUGUUUCUGCUUUCUCGAGAAGUUGAGUAAAUCUUAUCAUUUAGAGGAAGGAGAAGUCGUAACA
rnacentral:rRNA from 1 species